rnacentral:tRNA from 1 species
CCCUGGUUAGCUCAGUUGGUAGAGCGCUCCACUUGUAAUAGGAGUGGUCCCGGGUUCGAUACCUGGACCAAGGG